GAUGAACGCUAGCGGCAGGCCUAACACAUGCAAGUCGAGGGGCAGCACAGAAACAGCAAUGUUUUGGUGGCGACCGGCGGACGGGUGCGUAACGCGUAUGCAACCUACCUUUAACAGGGGGAUAACGGAGAGAAAUUUCCACUAAUACCCCAUAACAUCGAUCAAGGCAUCUUGAUUGGUUGAAAACUCCGGUGGUUAAAGAUGGGCAUGCGUUGUAUUAGGUAGUUGGUGAGGUAAUGGCUCACCAAGCCUACGAUACAUAGGGGGACUGAGAGGUUUGCCCCCCACACUGGUACUGAGACACGGACCAGACUCCUACGGGAGGCAGCAGUGAGGAAUAUUGGUCAAUGGGGGCAACCCUGAACCAGCCAUGCCGCGUACAGGAAGACGGCUCUAUGAGUUGUAAACUGCUUUUAAACAGGGAUAAAGCACAGUAUGUAUACUGUGUUGAAGGUACUGUAAGAAUAAGGAUCGGCUAACUCCGUGCCAGCCGCCGCCAUAA
rnacentral:rRNA from 1 species